rnacentral:rRNA from 1 species
ACCUCUAGCAUUUCCAGUAUUAGAGGCACUGCCUGCCCAGUGACACUCGUUAAACGGCCGCGGUAUCCUGACCGUGCAAAGGUAGCAUAAUCACUUGUUCUCUAAAUAAGGACUCGUAUGAAUGGCCACACGAGGGUUUUACUGUCUCUUACUUCCAAUCCGUGAAAUUGACCUUCCCGUGAAGAGGCGGGAAUACAAAAAUAAGACGAGAAGACCCUAUGGAGCUUUAAUUAGUUAAUCCAAAGAGACUAACUUAUACCGACAGGAAUAACAAACCUCUGAAUGGAUUAACAAUUUAGGUUGGGGUGACCUCGGAGUACAAAAUAACCUCCGAACGAUUUAAAUCAAGACCUACCAGUCAAAAGUACUACAUCACUUAUUGAUCCAAAAACAUUUGAUCAACGGAACAAGUUACCCUAGGGAUAACAGCGCAAUCCUAUUCUAGAGUCCAUAUCGACAAUAGGGUUUACGACCUCGAUGUUGGAUCAGGACAUCCCGAUGGUGCAACAGCUAUCAAA